CGCUAGUACGCUGGGGAGGAGGAGGAGGAAGGGAGCGGCAGCAGUGAAGGAUUUGACCCCCCUGCCACUGAUAGGCAGUUCUCUGGGGCCCGGAAUCAGCUGCGCCGCCCCCAGUAUCGCCCUCAGUACCGGCAGCGGCGGUUCCCGCCUUACCACGUGGGACAGACCUUUGACCGUCGCUCACGGGUCUUACCCCAUCCCAACAGAAUACAGGCUGGUGAGAUUGGAGAGAUGAAGGAUGGAGUCCCGGAGGGAGCACAACUUCAGGGACCGGUUCAUCGAAAUCCAACUUACCGCCCAAGCAGGGGACCUCCUCGCCCACGACCUGCCCCAGCAGUUGGAGAGGCUGAAGAUAAAGAAAAUCAGCAAGCCACCAGUGGUCCAAACCAGCAGUCUGUUCGCCGUGGAUACCGGCGUCCCUACAAUUACCGGCGUCGCCCGCGUCCUCCUAACGCUCCUUCACAAGAUGGCAAAGAGGCCAAGGCAGGUGAAGCACCAACUGAGAACCCUGCUCCACCCACCCAGCAGAGCAGUGCUGAGUAACACCAGGCUCCCCAGGCACCUUCACCAUCGGCAGGUGACCUAAAGAAUUAGUGACCAUUCAGAAAUAAAGCAAAAAGCAGGCCACAACCUUACCAACACCAAAGAAACAUCCAAGCAAUAAAGUGGAAGACUAACCAAGAUUUGGACAUUGGAAUGUUUACUGUUAUUCUUUAAGAAACAACUACAAAAAGAAAAUGUCAACAAAUUUUUCCAGCAAGCUGAGAACCUGGGAAUUCCUGCACAGAAGACAAGAGAGCAGCC
rnacentral:sRNA from 1 species